rnacentral:rRNA from 1 species
CGCCAGUGGCAUCGCCGGGUAGCUAUGUUCGGAAGAGAUAACCGCUGAAAGCAUCUAAGCGGGAAACUCGCCCCAAGAUGAGACUUCCCCGGAGCCUCGAGCUCCUUGAAGGGUCGUUCGAGACCAGGACGUUGAUAGGUCAGGUGUGCACGUGCAGUAAUGCACUGAGCUAACUGAUACUAAUUGCCCGUAAGGCUUGAUCCU